GGAGUGGUGUACUGUGUUAUAAUCAGUGAAAUUUUGAAGACUGUUGAAAAUUAUACCAAGAAUUCAGGAUAUAGUGACUACAUCUUGUUGUUCUUCUUUUCAAAAUAUGUGUGGAUGAUUGGUCUGGUGUAUGUUGUUCCUGCACUCGUUGGUGUUAUUGGCAGUGGUCUAAAGUUGAAGGGUCUUCUCAUCGGCUACAUGGUUGUUGGUAGCCUGUCUCUGUUGACCAUGGGCGCCGCAAACAUCAUGCAUAUAAUUGCAGUGGUAUAUCGACA